rnacentral:tmRNA from 1 species
GGGGCUGAUUCUGGAUUCGACAGGAUUUGCGAAGCCCUAGGAGCAUGCCGAGGGGCGGUUGGCCUCGUUAAAAGCCGCAAAAAAAUAGUUGCAAAACUAUACAACAACAUACCUGUAGCUAACGACGAUAAUUUCGCCGUAGCCGCUUAAUCAGCUUAAUAAACUGAAGGUGUCCUCUCUCCCUAGCCUCCGCUCUUAGGACGGGGAUCAAGAGAGGUCAAAACUAAAAGAGAUCGCGUGGAUGCCUUGCCUGGGGUUGAAGCGUUAAAUCCAAUCAGGCUAGUUUGUUAGUGGCGUGUCCGUUCGCAGCUAACCGGCGAAUGUAAUGACUGGACUAAGCAUGUAGUGCCGACGGCGUAGUAAUUCUGGACGCGGGUUCAACUCCCGCCAGCUCCACCA